rnacentral:lncRNA from 1 species
CAGCAGAGGCACAUUGACCCUAGUAGACAGGGUAUCCUCUUGAGAGGAUUGGAUCAUACUCACUAGUCUGUUUUGCUUGUCGGUGGUCGCUCCAUCGAAGCACGAGUCUCCGGAGUACUUCACUAGGGGCAGACGUAGUUGUCCCGCAGACGGUCUCGGUGUGCGAGUGCAGCUUCUCCUCACCUAUGAGAUUGAGAGUGAGUCGAGGGUUAACCUACGGGUCAACCAAGUAGAUUGGGUAAUAAACAUGAAAUGCAUAGUAGACUUGCAUUAUUACCUUGAGUAGACAUAGUGUAUGUUGUAGAUUACAUUGCUAUGCACCUUUAUAUACUCAUGACAUGAUACUAGCAUGAUAGUAGUUGUUGCAUGCAUUAUUAUCAUUGAUGGCAUGAUAGAGUAGUUGCAGUUCAUUUUCUAUAUAUCUAUCUAUCUCUCUAUCUGUGCCAGCUUAGACCUAGUGGGAAAACCGGCGGCGUCGGCGGCCGAACCCACUGGGAACUAUAUUUAUAUAGUUCUCACCCCGUGUGGUUUUGGGGUACAGGUACACACAGAGGC